UGGCUGCCGUGUGAGCAGGGACAGCUUUUCUCUCCCCCCCACAGAGAGCUGCAGAGCCAUUUAGGUUCUCAACAUGUUGCAGUGAAGACCAGCACAAGGCAUGUCCUGACCCUGAAUGUCCUCGAUUGUUUUUCUUAGGAAAAAUCCCCCUAAAAAUUGAUCUGGGAAAAUACCAGCCAGGGUCAUAUUAUCAGAGAGGAAGAUGUUGAACUACUUCAUUUACUUAACAAGGCUUUAUUAUGUGUUUUAGGUACAAGGUGCAAAGCGCAUAGAGGGAGGCAGCCAUGAGUAGGCUGGGUUCCUAGGCCUACGGAACUUCCUGGGAUUCAACACAGAAGGCAGGAGAGCAAUGGAUUAUAAUCUAGUGAAAUGAAACAGUGCUCUGAUGUAUGAGAACAGUAAGGGUGCUGGGAGCUCUUCUUUCAUGAAACCUCACAGCUCUUAUAUUUCAUGCCCCAUUAUGUAGCAGUUUCUAAAAAUUCUGCCCUCCCUGGUUUCCUAGGGCUCUCCUAACUCAGAUGAUAGCCUUCUCAAAUUCAGGAAGGCGAUCUUAACAACUGUGUUUCCUGAACUUUAGUUGUGUGCCAGUGCCCAGGACUCUGCAUGUCCAGCCACCUUCUCUGACCAGCUCUUGUAUCCCCUAUAGCAGUUCUCACACUGCUCAGCAAACGCAGAUUCAUGAUUGCAACAUUGCGUUUGAAACCUUCAAUCACUUUUAUUACACCUGACAAGCAAGGUAGGGAUUCCUAAAAUAUGGUAGACACAUCAUGCACUCAAAAAGUCGUCGGGCAAAUGGAACAUGUUAGGAUACCAUCUCCCCGACCUCUACCAGCCCAUGAUGCUAUUCUGUAUGUGCAGCCCCGAAGACUACACAGAAGCACAUAUCCUGUGCUUUUUAAAGGGGAUGAAACAUGAGACUUCAUACUUUACCUUCCAGGUCUAGUCCCGGAAUCGCUCACAUAACAUUUUCUCUGUGUUAUUAUAUUUACUUUGCAGAGUAAGUUCUUUUGUAAGGCAGGGUGUGGAACUGAGUGGUGAUCCUAAGCUCCAGAGCAACUUUCAAGCCUCAGUGCUAUGUAGCAAUUUUAGAACAAUGAGUGGUAAGAGCCUGCUGCUAAUUGAGACCUGCCAAAGACGCUCACUUGAUGCAGGCUUCAGCCUGCUCCGUUUGGUACUUCUGGUCUCUAUCUACCAGACCCCCACAGCCUACUGGGCAGACAUCACUGCAGACUUUGGUUUAACGCAUUCAGUUUUUGACUCAGCCUCACGGAGACAAGUGGCAUCUCUUUACGACUUGUGAAUAUCCUUUUACUGUCAUUACACUGUUCAGGAGAGAGAGAGAAACACCAGCUUAUUGUUGUACCCAUUUAUGUGUUCAUUGGUUGCCUCUUGUAUGUGCCCUGACUGGAGAUUGAACCUGCACCCUUGGUACAUCAGGACGAUGCUCUAACCAACUGAGCUACUUGGAGAGCACCCAAAAUGUUUUCUUCCCUUUAUCGUUGUUCAACUUUCUUUAGGGAAGGAUUAGAAAGAGCAGUUCCACUAACUAGGAUCUAAAACCAGUCAUCUCUGUGAGCCUUCAUCUCCUCUUCUGUAGAGAGAAGGUACCAGCUCCUGUGUGUAUUUGAGAGACACAUUGUAUGGAAGCCACCGUGGUGUCUGGUCAAGGGGCGAGCCCAGAGCACACCUGGUCAGGAGUACUCCUCUUUCUCA